CCUACGGGUGUCAGCAGUGGGGAAUAUUGGGCAAUGGACGCAAGUCUGACCCAGCAACGCCGCGUGAAGGAAGAAGGCUUUCGGGUUGUAAACUUCUUUUAAGGGGGAAGAGCAGAAGACGGUACCCCUUGAAUAAGCCACGGCUAACUACGUGCCAGCAGCCGCGGUAAUACGUAGGUGGCAAGCGUUGUCCGGAUUUACUGGGUGUAAAGGGCGUGCAGCCGGAGAGACAAGUCAGAUGUGAAAUCCACGGGCUCAACCCGUGAACUGCAUUUGAAACUGUUUCCCCUGAGUGCACACAGGGAUGCCGGAAGUCAUGGUGUAGCGGUGAAAUGCUUAGAUAGCAUGAAGAACUCCGAUCGCGAAGGCAAGUGUCCGGGGUGCAACUGACGCUGAGGCUCGAAAGUGCGGGUAUCAAACAGGAUUAGAUACCCCUGUAGUC
rnacentral:rRNA from 1 species